GUGGAGCCGACCUUGAAAUACCACCCUUUAAUGUUUGAUGUUCUAACGUGGACCCGUGAUCCGGGUUGCGGACAGUGUCUGGUGGGUAGUUUGACUGGGGCGGUCUCCUCCUAAAGAGUAACGGAGGAGCACGAAGGUUGGCUAAUCCUGGUCGGACAUCAGGAGGUUAGUGCAAUGGCAUAAGCCAGCUUGACUGCGAGCGUGACGGCGCGAGCAGGUGCGAAAGCAGGUCAUAGUGAUCCGGUGGUUCUGAAUGGAAGGGCCAUCGCUCAACGGAUAAAAGGUACUCCGGGGAUAACAGGCUGAUACCGCCCAAGAGUUCAUAUCGACGGCGGUGUUUGGCACCUCGAUGUCGGCUCAUCACAUCCUGGGGCUGAAGUAGGUCCCAAGGGUAUGGCUGUUCGCCAUUUAAAGUGGUACGCGAGCUGGGUUUAGAACGUCGUGAGACAGUUCGGUCCCUAUCUGCCGUGGGCGCUGGAGAACUGAGGGGGGCUGCUCCUAGUACGAGAGGACCGGAGUGGACGCAUCACUGGUGUUCGGGUUGUCAUGCCAAUGGCACUGCCCGGUAGCUAAAUGCGGAAGAGAUAAGUGCUGAAAGCAUCUAAGCACGAAACUUGCCCCGAGAUGAGUUCUCCCUGAGACUUAGAGUCUCCUGAAGGAACGUUGAAGACGACGACGUUGAUAGGCCGGGUGUGUAAGCGCAGCGAUGCGUUGAGCUAACCGGUACUAAUGAACCGUGAGGCUUAACCUU
rnacentral:rRNA from 1 species